rnacentral:rRNA from 1 species
GACGAACGCUGGCGGCGUGCUUAACACAUGCAAGUCGAACGGUGAAGGGACCGGUUUUUGCUGGUUCUGGAUGAGUGGCGAACGGGUGAGUAACACGUGAGUAACCUGCCCCCUUCUUCUGGAUAACCGCAUGAAAGUGUGGCUAAUACGGGAUAUUCUGCGCCUGCUGCAUGGUGGGUGUGGGAAAGAUAUUGUUUCGGUGGGGGAUGGGCUCGCGGCCUAUCAGCUUGUUGGUGGGGUGAUGGCCUACCAAGGCGGUGACGGGUAGCCGGCCUGAGAGGGUGGACGGUCACACGGGGACUGAGACACGGCGCAGACUCCUACGGGAGGCAGCAGUGGGGAAUAGUGCACAAUGGGCGCAAGCCUGAUGCAGCGACGCCGCGUGAGGGAUGGAGGCCUUCGGGUUGUAAACCUCUUUCGCCAGUGAAGCAGGCCUGUCCCUUUUGUGGGUGGGUUGACGGUAGCUGGAGAAGAAGCGCCGGCUAACUACGUG